AGUUUAAUUAAAACAAAGCAUUGCGAUGGUCUGCGCAGAUGCUCAUGCAAUGUGAUUUCUGCCCAGUGCUCUGAAUGUCAAAGUGAAGAAAUUCAACCAAGCGCGGUUAAACGGCGGGAGUAACUAUGACUCUCUUAAGGUAGCGAGCAUACCUCAUCUCAAAACACAAAGAUACUUAAUGGUAU
rnacentral:rRNA from 1 species